rnacentral:Y_RNA from 1 species
GGCUGGUUUGAGUGUGGUAGUGUUUACAACUAAUUGAUCACAAGCAGUUACAGAUUUCUGUGUUCUUUCACCCCCGCUGCUUCACUUGACUAGCCUUAA